GGUGUUGAAACUCCUCUCCACAAUCUGCGCCUUUGCCAGAACGGCUGAAUAUGUCUUGAGCUCUAGUACCAAUAAGUGGUGCUUGAUCUCUGGGCGGAGGCCCCACUGGAAUCUCCUAGCCUUCCUGCCCUCAUCUAUCAAUGUCUCAAGGGAGUAUCGGCCCAGCUCUAGGAACUUACGAACAUAUUCUGAUACCGUCAUGUUUCCCUAGACAAGUUGGACAAACUCUAUCUCCUUUAGAUGUCGGAUGUUCUCGGGGAGGUACUCCGCAUGAAAGGCUGCUAAGAACUGCUCUCAAGU
rnacentral:lncRNA from 1 species